UUGACCUCGGAUCAGGUAGGAAUACCCGCUGAACUUAAGCAUAUCAAUACG
rnacentral:rRNA from 1 species